rnacentral:rRNA from 1 species
GACGAACGCUGGCGGCGUGCCUAAUACAUGCAAGUCGAGCGAGCUUGCCUAGAUGAAUUUGGUGCUUGCACCAGAUGAAACUAGAUACAAGCGAGCGGCGGACGGGUGAGUAACAUGUGGGUAACCUACCCAAGAGACUGGGAUAACACCUGGAAACAGAUGCUAAUACCGGAUAACAACACUAGACGCAUGUCUAGAGUUUAAAAGAUGGUUCUGCUAUCACUCUUGGAUGGACCUGCGGUGCAUUAGCUAGUUGGUAAGGCAACGGCUUACCAAGGCAAUGAUGCAUAGCCGAGUUGAGAGACUGAUCGGCCACAUUGGGACUGAGACACGGCCCAAACUCCUACGGGAGGCAGCAGUAGGGAAUCUUCCACAAUGGACGCAAGUCUGAUGGAGCAACGCCGCGUGAGUGAAGAAGGGUUUCGGCUCGUAAAGCUCUGUUGGUAGUGAAGAAAGAUAGAGGUAGUAACUGGCCUUUAUUUGACGGUAAUUACUUAGAAAGUCACGGCUAACUACGUG